UAGGGAAUCUUCGGCAAUGGACGAAAGUCUGACCGAGCAACGCCGCGCGAGUGAAGAAGGUUUUCGGAUCGUAAAACUCUGUUGUUAGAGAAGAACAAGGACGUUAGUAACUGAACGUCCCCUGACGGUAUCUAACCAGAAAGCCACGGCUAACUACGUGCCAGCAGCCGCGGUAAUACGUAGGUGGCAAGCGUUGUCCGGAUUUAUUGGGCGUAAAGCGAGCGCAGGCGGUUUCUUAAGUCUGAUGUGAAAGCCCCCGGCUCAACCGGGGAGGGUCAUUGGAAACUGGGGGACUUGAGUGCAGAAGAGGAGAGUGGAAUUCCAUGUGUAGCGGUGAAAUGCGUAGAUAUAUGGAGGAACACCAGUGGCGAAGGCGGCUCUCUGGUCUGUAACUGACGCUGUGGCUCGAAAGCGUGGGGAGCAAACAGG
rnacentral:rRNA from 1 species